rnacentral:rRNA from 1 species
GAAACUGCCGGUAAUACCGGAUAAUGUCCCCGGACCAAAGGUGUAAUUCCGUCCGAGGAUGGGUCCGCGUCCUAUUAGCUUGUUGGUGGGGUAACGGCCUACCAAGGCUAUGAUGGGUACCGGGUGUGAGAGCAUGGCCCGGCUCACUGGGACUGAGACACUGCCCAGACACCUACGGGUGGCUGCAGUCGAGAAUCUUCGGCAAUGGGCGCAAGCCUGACCGAGCGACGCCGCGUGCGGGAUGAAGGCCUUCGGGUUGUAAACCGCUGUCAGAGGGGAGGAAAUGCAUGAGGGUUCUCUCUCAUGUUUGACCGAUCCUCAGAGGAAGUACGGGCUAAGUUCGUGCCAGCAGCCGCGGUAAUACGAACCGUACGAACGUUAUUCGGAAUCACUGGGCUUAAAGAGUGCGUAGGCGGCUUGGUAAGUUGGGUGUGAAAGCCCUCGGCUCAACCGAAGAAUUGCGCCCAAAACUACCAGGCUUGAGGGAGGCAGAGGUAAGCGGAACUAAUGGUGGAGCGGUGAAAUGC